CAGCAGCAGCAGCAGCAGCAGCAGCAGCAGCAGGUGACUGUCAGCUAAGUCAAGCACCAAGGACAAGGAGUUCCUCUUUUCUUCAUGCUGCUUUCUGUGCAGCCGAGACCCUGAUCAUUGCUCUGGGAAUGCACAUGGAGAGGAAAGCAGAUUCCUGAAAAGCAUUUCCUGGCUUUUAUUUCCCAAACCUAGGUCUGCAAGGGCAGGGGAGGAGGUGGCAGACACAUUACUGGUAAUCAGUUGUUCUUGGAGGAGAAACAUGUCCCAGUUAUGAACAUCUACAGAAGCAAAGAGACAAAGUGAUAAACCCAAAAUAUUACUAUUUGGGAAUAUAAAAGAAAUGGCAUUUUCAUGGGACAGAGAAAGCAAAUAGGCAAGGCAGUGGAAUGGAGUGAAAGC